rnacentral:lncRNA from 1 species
AAUACUGGAUCUAGAACCAUUUUAACAAGGGAUCAAGGACCUAAACUUACUUAUCUGAAUCUCUAACCUUGGAAGAAGAGGCAUUGAAAGUGGAGUCAAUAGCCUUUUGGGAGAGUUUGGGCUUUGAAGAUGGGGUUGGCCCUUCGGAAGAAAAACACAUCCAUUAGAAAAUGCGCUUUAUCAAAACUUGGGAAGUUGUGGACACAACCAAAGCCCCCGAGAG